GACGAACGCUGGCGGCGUGCCUAAUACAUGCAAGUCGAGCGGACAGAAGGGAGCUUGCUCCCGGAAGUUAGCGGCGGACGGGUGAGUAACACGUGGGCAACCUACCCUGUAGAUCGGGAUAACAUCGAGAAAUCGGUGCUAAUACCGGAUAAUCAUUUGAAGUGCAUGCUUCGAAUGUAAAAGAUGGCUCCGGCUAUCACUACGGGAUUGGCCCGCGGCGCAUUAGCUAGUUGGUAAGGUAAUGGCGUACCAAGGGAACGAUGCGUAGCCGACCUGAGAGGGGGAUCGGCCACACUGGGACUGGGAGACGGCCCAGACUCCUACGGGAGGCAGCAGUAGGGAAUCUUCCGCAAUGGACGCAAGUCUGACUGAGCAACGCCGCGUGAGUGAUGAAGGUUUUCGGGUCGUAAAGCUCUGUUGUUAGGGAAGAACAAGAGCCGUUUGAAUAAGGCGGCACCUUGACGGUACCUAACCAGAAAGCCACGGCUAACUACGUGCCAGCCGCCGCAGUAACAC
rnacentral:rRNA from 1 species